AUGAAGGAGGCAAAACGACAGCUUUAUCAUGGCUGUACCAAGUUUUCAAGGUUAUCCUUUGUGGUAAAGCUUCUUCACUUGAAGUCAUACCAUAGGAUCCCAAAUAGUGCAUUUACUGAAAUUUUAAAGCUAUUAGCCGAAGCAUUCCCUGAACCCAAUACACUCCCAAAAUCGUAUAAGGAAGCAAAGAAUCUUCUAAAGGAAUUAGGCCUUGGGUACGAGUCUAUACAUGUGUGCUUGAAUAAUUGCAUUCUGUUUAGAAAGCAAUAUGCCAAUCUUGACAACUGCCCAGUUUGUGGACUAUCAAGGUGGAAAGCCCCUGCUAGAAAGAAGAUUCCACAGAAAGUGUUGAGGCAUUUUCCAUUGGUGCCUAGGCUAAAGAGGAUGUUUCUUUCCAAAAAGGUGCAGAAGAAGCACAAUGGCAUG
rnacentral:rRNA from 1 species